GAUGAACGCUGGCGGCGUGCUUAACACAUGCAAGUCGAACGGGAUCCCAGGGGUGCUUGCACUUUUUGGUGAGAGUGGCGAACGGGUGAGUAACACGUGAGUAACCUGUCCUUUUCUUUGGGAUAAGCAUUCGAAAGGGUGUUUAAUACCUUAUGUUCUGUCUGCCUCGCAUGGGGUGGGUGGGAAAGGCUUUGGCCGGAUUUGGGUGGGCUCGCGGUCUAUCAGCUUGUUGGUGGGGUGAUGGCUUACCAAGGCUUUGACGGGUAGCCGGCCUGAGAGGGUGGUCGGUCACAUUGGGACUGAGAUACGGCCCAGACUCCUGCGGGAGGCAGCAGUGGGGGAUAUUGCACAAUGGGCGAAAGCCUGAUGCAGCGACGCCGCGUGGGGGAUGAAGGCCUGCGGGUUGUAAACUUCUGUUGCUCUGAACAAGGCAUGCCAGUGGGUGUGUUGAGUGUAGGGGUUGAUUAGCGCCGGCUAACUACGUG
rnacentral:rRNA from 1 species